AAUAGAUACCCUGGUAGUCCACGCCGUAAACGAUGAGUGCUAAGUGUUAGAGGGUUUCCGCCCUUUAGUGCUGCAGCUAACGCAUUAAGCACUCCGCCUGGGGAGUACGGCCGCAAGGCUGAAACUCAAAGGAAUUGACGGGGGCCCGCACAAGCGGUGGAGCAUGUGGUUUAAUUCGAAGCAACGCGAAGAACCUUACCAGGUCUUGACAUCCUCUGCCAACCCUAGAGAUAGGGCGUUCCCCUUCGGGGGACAGAGUGACAGGUGGUGCAUGGUUGUCGUCAGCUCGUGUCGUGAGAUGUUGGGUUAAGUCCCGCAACGAGCGCAACCCUUGAUCUUAGUUGCCAGCAUUUAGUUGGGCACUCUAAGGUGACUGCCGGUGACAAACCGGAGGAAGGUGGGGAUGACGUCAAAUCAUCAUGCCCCUUAUGACCUGGGCUACACACGUGCUACAAUGGAUGGUACAAAGAGCUGCAAACCCGCGAGGGUAAGCGAAUCUCAUAAAGCCAUUCUCAGUUCGGGAUUGUAGG
rnacentral:rRNA from 1 species